rnacentral:rRNA from 1 species
GACGAACGCUGGCGGCGUGCCUAAUACAUGCAAGUAGGACGCAGUUGCGAACGGGUGAGUAACGCGUAGGUAACUGCCCCUUAGAGGGGGGUAACUCUUUGAAACGAUAGCUAAUACAGCAUAGUAGUUGAUGGACCUGCGUUGUAUUAGCUAGUAGGUAGGGUAAUGGCCUACCUAGGCAACGAUGCAUAGCCGGCCUGAGAGGGUGAACGGCCACACUGGGACUUAGACACGGCCCAGACUCCUACGGGAGGCAGCAGUAGGGAAUCUUCGGCAAAGGGGGGAAACCUGACCGAGCAACGCCGCGUGAGUGAAGAAGGUUUUCGGAUCGUAAAGCUCUGUUGUUAAGGAAGCGGUACUUAACCAGAAAGGGACGGCUAACUACGUGCCAGCAGCCGCGGUAAUAC